rnacentral:rRNA from 1 species
GGAGCUGUACGUAAGCGUUGAUCCAGAGAUUUCCGAAUGGGGGAACCCACUAUCUUUAGUCGGAUAGUAUCCUUACGUGAAUACAUAGCGUGAGGAAGGCAGACCCAGGGAACUGAAACAUCUAAGUACCUGGAGGAAGAGAAAGAAAAAUCGAUUUCCUGAGUAGCGGCGAGCGAAACGGAAAGAGCCCAAACCAAGAAGCUUGCUUCUUGGGGUUGUAGGACACUCUAUACGGAGUUACAAAAGAAAGUUAUAAAUGAAGCGGUCUGGAAAGGCCCGCCAAAGACGGUAACAGCCCGGUAGUUGAAAUGGCUUUCCCUCCAGAGUGGAUCCUGAGUACGGCGGAACACGUGAAAUUCCGUCGGAAUCCGGGAGGACCAUCUCCCAAGGCUAAAUACUCCCUAGUGACCGAUAGUGAACCAGUACCGUGAGGGAAAGGUGAAAAGCACCCCGGAAGGGGAGUGAAACAGUUCCUGAAACCGUGUGCCUACAAGUAGUUAGAGCCCGUUAAUGGGUGAUAGCGUGCCUUUUGUAGAAUGAACCGGCGAGUUACGAUUUGUUGCAAGGUUAAGCGGAAAAAGCGGAGCCGUAGCGAAAGCGAGUCUGAAUAGGGCGCAUAAGUAACAGGUCGUAGACCCGAAACCAGGUGAUCUACCCAUGUCCAGGAUGAAGGUAAGGUAAUACUUACUGGAGGUCCGAACCCACGCACGUUGAAAAGUGCGGGGAUGAGGUGUGGGUAGCGGAGAAAUUCCAAUCGAACUUGGAGAUAGCUGGUUCUCUCCGAAAUAGCUUUAGGGCUAGCCUCGAGGUAAAGAGUCAUGGAGGUAGAGCACUGUUUGGACUAGGGGCCCUUCUCGGGUUACCGAAUUCAGAUAAACUCCGAAUGCCAUGUACUUAUACUCGGGAGUCAGACUGCGAGUGAUAAGAUCCGUAGUCGAAAGGGAAACAGCCCAGACCACCAGUUAAGGUCCCCAAAUAUAUGUUAAGUGGAAAAGGAUGUGGGGUUGCUUAGACAACCAGGAUGUUGGCUUAGAAGCAGCCACCAUUGAAAGAGUGCGUAAUAGCUCACUGGUCGAGUGACCCCGCGCCGAAAAUGUACCGGGGCUAAACAUAUUACCGAAACUGUGGAUGAACCUCUUUAGAGGUUCGUGGUAGGAGAGCGUUCUAAGGGCGGUGAAGUCAGACCGGAAGGACUGGUGGAGCGCUUAGAAGUGAGAAUGCCGGUAUGAGUAGCGAAAGAAGGGUGAGAAUCCCUUCCACCGAAUAUCUAAGGUUUCCUGAGGAAGGCUCGUCCGCUCAGGGUUAGUCGGGACCUAAGCCGAGGCCGAUAGGCGUAGGCGAUGGACAACAGGUAGAGAUUCCUGUACCAGUGCUAAUUGUUUAACCGAUG